GGAUUGUAGCUCAGUGGUAGAGCACUUGCUUAGCAUGUGUGAAGCACUGGGUUCGAUUCUCAUCACCA
rnacentral:tRNA from 1 species